rnacentral:rRNA from 1 species
UAGUCCACGCCGUAAACGAUGUCUAUUAGCCGCUGGGUCUGUUACGGACUUGGUGGCGAAGCUAACGCGAUAAAUAGACCGCCUGGGGAGUACGGCCGCAAGGUUAAAACUCAAAUGAAUUGGCGGGGCCCGCACAAGCGGUGGAGCAUGUGGUUUAAUUCGAAGCAACGCGAAGAACCUUACCUACUCUUGAGAUCCAGUGAAUUUAGCAGAGAUGCUUUAGUGCCUUCGGGAACACUGAGACAGGUGCUGCAUGGCUGUCGUCAGCUCGUGUUGUGAAAUGUUGGGUUAAGUCCCGUAACGAGCGCAACCCCUAUCCUUAGUUGCCAGCGAGUCAAGUCGGGGACUCUAAGGAGACUGCCGGUGACAAACCGGAGGAAGGCGGGGAUGACGUCAAGUCAUCAUGGGCCCUUACGAGUAGGGGCUACACACGUGCUACAAUGGGGGCGUACAGAGGGGUUGCGAAGCCGCGAGGUGGGAGCUAAUCUCAGAAAGCGUCUCGUAGUCCGGGA